rnacentral:rRNA from 1 species
GACGAACGCUGGCGGCGCGCUUAACACAUGCAAGUCGAGCGAGAACCAGGGCUUCGGCCUUGGGGACAGCGGCGAACAGGUGAGUAACACGUGGGUCAUCUGCCCUCGGCACCGGAAUAGCCCGGGGAAACCCGGAUUAAUGCCGGAUGGCCCGACCGCUCUACGGGGCGGUCGGAAAAGGUAGCUUCGGCCUCCGGCCGACGAUGAGCCCGCGGGGGAUUAGCUAGUUGGUGAGGUAAUGGCUCACCGAGGCCACGAUCCGUAGCUGGGCUGAGAGGACGAUCAGCCACACUGGGACUGAGACACGGCCCAGACUCCUACGGGAGGCAGCAGUGGGGAAUCUUGCGCAAUGGGCGAAAGCCUGACGCAGCGACGCCGCGUGAGGGAAGAAGGCUUUCGGGUUGUAAACCUCUUUCAGGAGGGACGAAGCCACUCGGGUGAAUAGCCCAGAGGGUGACGGUACCUCCAGAAGAAGCCCCGGCUAACUACGUGCCAGCCGCCGCCGUAACAC